CUCUACGCUGUGUUUGGUUCCUAACCGCGACGUUAGCGGUUCAUUUAAACUGUGAGUCAUUGUAGUACGUUAGUUACAUUUCAGUUUAUACUUCAUAAGGGUGUGUAAUGUAACGGCUAUAAAGCAGUUAGAAUGAAACUACGUGUAUGAAUCAAUUUUAUUUUAUUUAUUGUAUCAUCAUUUGUAUCACGUGGCGGCUGUGGAUCAGGUGGUAGAGCGGGUUGUCACUAAUCGUAGGGUCGGUGGUUCGAUUCCCGGCCCGCGUGACUCCACAUGCUGAAGUGUCCUUGGGUAAGACGCUGAACCCCGAGUUGCUCCCGAUGACAAGUUAGCGCCUUGCAUGGCAGCUCUGCCACCGUUAGCGUGAGUGUGAAUGUGUGAAUGAGAACCAGUGUAAAGCGCUUUGGAUAAAAACGCUAUAUGUGCGCCAUUUACCGUUUACUUAAUACUGACGCAGAUUCAGGUUGAGGCCUGUCGACCAAGAGAAGAAUCCUGUGUGAUGAAGUCAAAGCUUAAACUAAUUGACGUCUUGAACUCGCUUGACGAAUAGCAAAUGUUAAAUAUUUCCGUUAAUAAUGAACAACUAUAUGAAGCUUUUAUGUCAAUUUUCUUUUUCACAAACAUACUGUAACAUUAGUCAUUCUUCUGUAUUAUAAACAUGUCACCAAACACUACAUGUAGGUCUUAUUUCUCUGUGUUCUGCAGUUUCCAGUUCAGUGUGUGGACGACCAGGCUGGAUUAAAUGGCGUGGUUAUUUAUGAGAACCACAUUUUCCCCAUUUCAAAUCCCAGAUCUCAAAUCCCACGUCCAGUUCAGUGUGUGGACGACCCGCUGCCUGAAAACGCCGUGGAGGUUUACGGAAACGAGGAAUUCCCGCUGAGAAAUCAGCUACCGGUAAGUUUCCUUUUGUACUUCUAUUUUUUUUUCUUAUUUUCAUUCUAAUAAAUGAAGUUAGCAUUAAAAACACCAACAGUGUUUUAUUCCCAGAUAGAAAUUUUAAUGUAGGUCUUUUUCUCCAUGAAAAGACCUAGAUUUUAUUCAUUAAUAACACAGAACAAUUAAGGUAACAUUAAAGCGCACAAAUGUUGUUUUAACCUCACAGGAAUUUUAACGUAGGACUUUCUCCCCCCAUGUUUUGUAGCUUCCAGUUCAGUGUGUGGACGACCCGCUGCCUGAAAACGCCGUGGAGGUUUACGGAAACGAGGAAUUCCAGAAGAGAAAUCCGCUACCUGUAAGAUUCCUUUUGUAAUGGCUGCUCCUUUAAAACAAAAUGGGGCUGUUAAUUGAUUUGCGCUCCAGUCACGUGCCUCCUAUUGCAUUCUGGGUACUGACCAGUGACCUGUUUGGGAAAGGAAACUACUACUGCCACUGCUACUAGUACCACUAUUACUAUUGCUACUACUGCUGCUACUACUGCUAUUGCUACUACUGCUACUACUACUGCUACUACUGCUACCACUAUUACUACUGCUACUACUACUGCUACUACUACUACUGCUGCUACUACUACUGCUACUACUACUGCUACUACUGCUACUACUACUGCUACUACUACUACUACUACUACUACUGCUACUACUACUAUUACUGCUACUACUGCUACUGCUACUACUACUACUACUACUGCUACUACUGCUACUACUACUACUGCUAAAACUACUACUACUGCUGCUGCUGCUACUAUUACUACUACUACUACUACUACUGCUACUACUGCUACUACUACUGCUACUACUACUAUUACUGCUACUACUACUACUACUGCUGCUGCUGCUACUACUACUGCUACUACUACUACUACUGCUACUACUACUACUACUACUACUACUACUGCUGCUGCUGCUGCUGCUACUACUACUGCUACUACUACUGCUACUACUACUGCUACUACUACUACUACUACUACUACUACUACUGCUGCUGCUGCUGCUACUACUGCUGCUACUACUACUACUACUACUACUACUACUACUACUACUACUGCUACUACUACUACUGCUGCUGCUAAAACUACUACUACUGCUACUACUACUAUUACUACUACUACUCUACUACUGCUACUACUACUACUACUACUACUACUGCUGCUAAAACUACUACUACUGCUGCUACUACUAAUUCUGUUGAUUCAGGGGUCCAGGGUGUCAAAAACCCAACGAUACACAGAACAUCAGGAGCCCUUCAGCUCUGCUCUAACUGAAAAGGAAGCGGUGAUCAUACUACUUUUUUUCACUAAUUCCAUUGGUUUAUAAUAUCCUUGUUUUAUAGAUUUUAUUCAUUAAUAACACAAAACAAUUAAGGUAACAUUAAAGCGCACAAAUGUUGUUUUAACCUCACAGGAAUUUUAACGUAGGUCUUUCUCCCCCAUGUUUUGUAGCUUCCAGUUCCGUGUGUCGACGACCCGCUGGGUUUAAAUGCUGUUGUAGCUACCGAAGAUCAGACUUUCUCCAUGCCAUAUCAGCCACCUGAGAAUGUCCUCAUUGUCUUACCCAUUGUGAAUACACAUGUUUAUAUAGUUAGUACGAUCAUAUUAGUCGUAAUAUACUUAUCAUGAACGAUUUUUGUUUUGUUUUACGAUUUAAUACAAUAAAUGUCUGUAAUAAAACUGUGUGUAAUGUGUUGUUUGUGGUAAGCUAAGCCAUUAGCUAAUUAGCGACUCUGACUAUCUACCCACAUCUUUCUCCAACUCUUUACAGAAUUCAAGCUCCGUUUUAGACUUCGUGUCACCUUGGUGUUGUAAGAGCUGCUACAGCCUAUAGGAAAAUGUGUAAGGAGCAUUUUCAUAAUGGAGGUGGUGUUCACUUUAGAAUAGCUCACUUUGUCCGUUGAGAUCCGGGGCUCCAGAUGGCCACUAAAAUGGUCGCCAAUGCGACUAACUUUUUAAUUUUGCGGCCAUGUUUUUUCUGCCAGUCGCCAGUGGCCACCGUUACCCACAAACAAAACUUAAAAACAAAUAGAAAUGACCAUACGUCGUGGUGUGCUCGGCUACUGAACUCUCAUCUCCUGUUGCGCCUGCGUCUACCCGCCCUAUCACGUGCACACCCGCCCUAUCACGUGCACACCCGCCCUAUCACGUGCACACCUGCAUGGUUUCCAAUAGAUAAACUCCGCACUCUUGUCCUGCAGUGGUUGAAGCGUCAGCUGUACAGAGGAACAGAAACAGGUUUAACGUCACGUUUAUCGGGUUAAAAAGUUCGGAAGUGUUAACUCUGUUAAAGGUGUUUGAUUCGGUUCGAUCUGGUUUAGUCCGUUGGAAUGUGAAUGUAUCGAGUUAUAUGUAGGCUAGCUAACUGCGCAGUUAACUAACAUUAGCCAGCUGAGAAGAAAAAAACGAAAUGCGCAAACAAAAAAUAUCAGUAAACAAAGGCAGACAGUACAGAAGGGAAAGAAAAGGCAGUGUGAGGUAGCCGUCUACCAAUGACUACGUUUACAUGGACGGCAGUAAUCUAAUUAUUGACCUUACUCUGAGUAAGAUAAUACUGUGAUUGAGGUGUUUACAUGCGUCGCUUUUAGAAUACUCCCGUCAUGUUCCCGUUUUACAUGCUUUAGAACAUAAUUAUAUUAA
ensembl:lncRNA